UUUUACUAGACAUCGAGCCAGGGACCAUGGACAGUGUUCGAUCUGGUCCGUACGGUCAGAUCUUCUAGCCGUGUAACUUUGUGUUCGGGAAGUCUGGUGCCAAAAUUGGGCGAAAGGUCAUUAUACGGAAGGAGUAGAGCUUAUUGAUUCUAUUCUUGGCGUUGUUCGUAUUGAUUCCAUCUGGUGCUGAAAGAAGGUUUGAUUUUGCCGCUGUUCGUAUUUGAUGGACUGAUAGUUACAUUAAAAUUGAAUUCAAUCACACAAAGUAUCAUUUUAUUUGAUUUCGUGCUGUUUAUGGUCAUCAAAUCAUGAAGUUUUAGAUGUCUUAUGUGUGAAGUAUAAGGUAUGCUGGUAAUUUUGAUAGUUUUGAGAACGCCUUAUGCAAGGCGCUUAAGAAGCAAGGGCCUUUUUUUAACAAGGGGUAGAGUAUAAAUGAACUGUUUUUAGGGGGUUAAGACAUGUUUUAAGUUGGUUUGGGCUGGUUUCAAGCCAUUUUUAGAUGUUUCAUACCAGUUUCAGCCUUGUUCAGGCCUGUUUUUAAUUGGCCGGAAGGUGUUAUUGCUGCGUUAGGUUGCGUUGCAGUUA
rnacentral:lncRNA from 1 species